rnacentral:rRNA from 1 species
AUUGAACGCUGGCGGCAGGCUUGACACAUGCAAGUCGAGCGGAGAGAGGUAGCUUGCUACUGAUCUUAGCGGCGGACGGGUGAGUAAUACUUAGGAAUCUGGCUAUUAGUGGGGGACAACAUUUCGAAAGGGAUGCUAAUACCGCAUACGUCCUACGGGAGAAAGCAGGGGAUCUUCGGACCUUGCGCUAAUAGAUGAGCCUAAGUCGGAUUAGCUAGUUGGUGGGGUAAAGGCCUACCAAGGCGACGAUCUGUAGCGGGUCUGAGAGGAUGAUCCGCCACACUGGGACUGAGACACGGCCCAGACUCCUACGGGAGGCAGCAGUGGGGAAUAUUGGACAAUGGGGGGAACCCUGAUCCA